rnacentral:rRNA from 1 species
GACGAACGCUGGCGGCGUGCUUAACACAUGCAAGUCGAGCGGAAAGGCCACUUCGGUGGUACUCGAGCGGCGAACGGGUGAGUAACACGUGAGUAAUCUGCCCCUGGCUUUGGGAUAGCCACCGGAAACGGUGAUUAAUACCGGAUAUGACCACUUCACGCAUGUGAUGGUGGUGGAAAGUUUUUCGGCCAGGGAUGUGCUCGCGGCCUAUCAGCUUGAUGGUGAGGUAAUGGCUCACCAUGGCUUCGACGGGUAGCCGGCCUGAGAGGGUGGCCGGUCACACUGGGACUGAGACACGGCCCAGACUCCUACGGGAGGCAGCAGUGGGGAAUAUUGGACAAUGGGCGGAAGCCUGAUCCAGCAACGCCGCGUGAGGGAUGACGGCCUUCGGGUUGUAAACCUCUUUCGCCUGUGACGAAGCGCAAGUGACGGUAACAGGUAAAGAAGCACCGGCCAACUACGUGCCAGCCGCCGCCGUAAUAC